UUACGGUAAGGAUACGAAGUAAAUGCGUUCAGGCUUGGUGUGUUCAGUGGAUUAGAAAAAUAAAAAAGGGGGGAAACAGUGACAGCAGUGGUGAGCAGAAGGUGAGAACAAAAGUUGUGUGAUGGCGUCAAGUCUGAUUCCUGGAUGUCAUGUCAUGAGCGAUCUGCUGACCAUCCGUGAGAAAGGUAUCCUCUUCACUCUGCUCGAACCUCACUGUAAGCUGAUCAAAACUACAGUAGCACAGUUACUAAGGGCCAAAGAUGCUGAGGGUGAGAGUCCGGGCUGGAGUUGUUUGGGUUGUGGUGCUGUGUGUCUCAUUGAGAACGAGUCCAUUCACUCCUACUUCCUGCAACUGUACUGUGUCAAGCGUGCAAAGUUACUGUGGGAGCAGGAGUUGUUCAUCCCAUUCAAAUACACUGCAGCUCGAACGUUCUUCCACACUUUCCCUGCAGAUGUAAGUGCCCCUGUUUGUGUGCGACAUGCUUUAUCAGAGUUUUUCAGCUGGUUUAAGGUGGAUUUACUGUGUUUGCACAGGAUCAUCAGGUAG
rnacentral:lncRNA from 1 species